rnacentral:lncRNA from 1 species
UUAUCAUGUACCUUCAUUACAAUGUAAAGCUGAUGUGGCAUCACUUAAAAUUUUAUUGGGCAAUUCAAUUGACCUCACUAAAGAGGCCAUUUUACUGACCUCACCAUAGAAGCACCCUUAUUUGAUUGGGUUAUUAUUGAAAAUUGUAUAUACAUGGUACUGGUACUGGGUUAAUUAAUUUGGAUGAUGUAUUAUAUCAUGAUCGGUUGAUAUAUAUAUACUACUAGUAGUAAUCCUUAUGAAAAGAAAAACCUCAUUCAUGUAUGCUUUUGGUCUCAAAUUUGUAACUCAGAAUGUUAAUGUAGAGCACAACAACUCAUUAGUUCUGUGCAAAUUAUCUCUUUGAUUAUCAACCAUAUGUAUAUAUCCUAGUGGUCACAAAUAAUGAGACAUAUAUGGUACCAUGAUCAAGUGGACAUUGCUAAUUAAAUUUUGCCCGAAUAACACAAACUUAUGCUGUUCGAAAUAACCAAUAGGAUAACC